rnacentral:rRNA from 1 species
GACGAACGCUGGCGGCGUGCUUAACACAUGCAAGUCGAACGGAAAGGCCCUGCUUUUGUGGGGUGCCCGAGUGGCGAACGGGUGUGUAACACGUGAGUAACCUGCCCUUGACUUUGGGAUAACUUCAGGAAACUGGGGCUAAUACCGGAUAGGAGCUCCUGCUGCAUGGUGGGGGUUGGAAAGUUUCGGCGGUUGGGGAUGGACUCGCGGCUUAUCAGCUUGUUGGUGGGGUAGUGGCUUACCAAGGCUUUGACGGGUAGCCGGCCUGAGAGGGUGACCGGCGACAUUGGGACUGAGGUAGGGCCCAGACGCCUACGGGGGGCAGCGGUGGGGAAUAUUGCACAAUGGGCGGGAGCCUGAUGCGACGACGCCGCGUGCGGGAUGACGGCCUUCGGGUUGUAAACCGCUUUCGCCUGUGACGAAGCGUGAGUGACGGUAAUGGGUAAAGAAGCACCGGCUAACUACGUG